UACAGAGGGUGCUAGCGUUAUUCGGAUUAACUGGGCGUAAAGCGCAUGUAGGUUGUUUAGCAAGUCUCGUGUGAAAGCCUCCGUUUUAAGCGGAGAAGUGCACGAGAUACUACUAGACUAGAGUACAGGAGGGGGAAGCGGAAUUCCAGGUGUAGAGGUGAAAUUCGUAGAUAUCUGGAGGAACAACGGCGGCGAAGGCGGCUUCCUGGACUGUUACUGACACUGAGAUGCGAAAGCGUGGGGAGCAAACAGG
rnacentral:rRNA from 1 species